rnacentral:rRNA from 1 species
ACGUUAGCGGCGGACGGGUGAGUAACACGUGGGUAACCUACCUAUAAGACUGGGAUAACUUCGGGAAACCGGAGCUAAUACCGGAUAAUACUUCGAACCGCAUGGUUCGAUAGUGAAAGAUGGUUUUGCUAUCACUUAUAGAUGGACCCGCGCCGUAUUAGCUAGUUGGUAAGGUAACGGCUUACCAAGGCGACGAUACGUAGCCGACCUGAGAGGGUGAUCGGCCACACUGGAACUGAGACACGGUCCAGACUCCUACGGGAGGCAGGCAGGC